CCAGGAAGAUAUUAUAUAACUGAACAAAAGUGAAUUCUCAGUUUUGUGUCAUGCUUAGAUAAAUAUAACUCAAUUUGUUGCGGUUUCAUUCUUCGAAUUGGAAUUUGUCAUCGCCAACUGGAAAAUAAAACCUGUAGGAGACGAUGGAAGCACGCAAAGGAGACGAUAGAAAGAAGUAAAAUGAAGGAUGGACAAGUGUCAGAUAAGUAGCUAAUAUUCUGAACCUGUACCAAUGUAUAUUAUUUAUGUCUUAAAGAUGCAUGAAUAUGCAAUACAAACAUAUUAUGCUAUUUAUGCGAGCAUUAUAAUUUUAGAUAUUGGAUCAAUUCUUUUUUCCGAUUAAUGUUUUUGUUUCAGCUUUAGGAGGUAUAAUGUUUGUUGAAAUGUUCCAAAGGAUUAAUUCAUAACAGAAAUAAUCCAGCCACCAAAGACGAAAAUGAUGAUUGACCCAGCCAGCAAAAGCAAGUCUGAUGAUUGAUCCGUCCAGCAAAGGCAGAAUCUUUGCCAAUAUCUUAAUACCACAACAAAUUUGAUUGACGCAGACUGGGAUGUGAUUGAACAGCGAACAAGUCAUCAGGUUGCAUCCACCAGUUAAAUAUGCAGUUGUCGUACAAGCUGGUACAUGUACAUCCGAAGGAAAGCUCCCAUAUAAGCGACUGGUUACGUCAAACCGCUGACCGACUGCGAAAAUCAAAAAGUGUAUGAAGAAGGAACCAGAAAGCUGUGUGUACAAUAUAUUUUGAUAUAUCGUAGAUUUAUAAACAUAUCCGUCCGAUUCGUUGAAACGAUAAUUAAAUUAAUAUCUUGUUAUGCUCUUUAAAAGUUGUUAAUUAAUUUUAACGCGAGCCCGUGUAAAUACGAAUCUUUGAUAUUGCUCUAUAUGGUAGACUUUAAUUUAUAAUAUUCAAUUUAUAAUUUUUAAGUGUGCAUGUAUACGCAAAAGCCUUUG